CACACCGCUGAUCCUCCGCGCGCCACCCCGCUCCUCCUCGUCGCGAUAGGUGACGCCACGUUGGGCUGCCCGCGCCACCACGCUGCGCCGACCUACCCAUCGGGCCGCCGCGGAGGAGAACGGAUGAGGAGCUGCAGCGUUGACCUGCCCAACGGGCACACGCAUCGAGCCGCCACGACGCCGCGCCUCCCGCCCCUCGCCAGCUCGACUUUGCUCCCCUUCCUCUGCAGGCACGCGUAGCGCCGGCUAGCGGCGUCUCCUUCUCCCCUUCCCCGCGGCUGCCGGCUCCAUCGGUGACCCAUGACAGACGAGAGGCGCCGGGCAUCGGACGCCAAGAGCAGGAGAACCAGCGGCCCGCUUGCGCCGGCGCGGCGGAGGCAACGCCCGCGGAAGGGGAUGAUGCCAGCAGCGAUGGCAUUGAGAUCUGUUGCUUCGACAACUGCGGCACCGGCAGUAGCUCCGUGCCCCCGAACAAAUCCUACUGCUUGAGUUUCAGCUCCCGAUCUCCUCCUCCCAGAGAUCCAAUUCCCCUUCAAAUGCAAUCAGAAGCAGGAUCUUGGUGAUGACUCGACCAGGCGUGCAGCACGGGGGCCUCCGCGCCACCGGGCAGGGGCCACGUUCGGCGCUCCAGCUCCAGCUCCCGGGCGACAGCCUAGAUCCGGAGGAGCGCCACGGCGAGGUCCGCCAAACCGGCAUCGCCGCGGGACGGAGCGGGCGCGGCCAACGAGCGUGGCGAGGUCCUGCUACAUUAGCCACGGUGCUGGCGCUGGCGCGGGCAUCGUCGGGAAUCGAUUUGGCAUGACGAUCAAUUGGGGGAUUUUGGCUGGGACUCUUUGGUCGUCGUCACUUUUGUUACGUUUGGUUGACUUUGUCCAACGUCGCUUCAGACUUCAGCUACCAGGCCCGGACGACGAUCAUGGCGAAGGACACCUUGGUCUUGAUGGAUCAUUUGGGGUGGAAGAAAGCACAUGUCUUUGGCCACUCUAUGGGUGUACUGAUUUCUUGCAAGCUAGCUGCAAUAGCGCCUCACAGGCUGUGAGAUGUGAGUUUUCAGACUUUAUCUUGUGUUGCUGAGUCUUCGGUACCAGAUUACUAAAUACAACUGCAAGAAUAGGAAGUGAAGCAACAAGGGUUUCAACUGCAAGAAUCCAUGUCUGUAGUAAUCUGCCCUUUCUUGAAACCCUCAAUUCGAAUGCUUGAAUACACAUCUACUAUAAAUUAUAUUAGUAUUUAGGAGAAAACAUUAAUUUGUCUCUGCAACCUUCUAUUUCUGGUAGAGCAGUCCCAAGAGAUAACAUGCUAAACUUCAAUCAGCAUAUCCCUGAUGGUUGCUGCGACAAAAAAGAAAGGUGCUUUUGUUAGCUAGCUGCACGGCAUGGACAUGGUUAAACAUCCAGUAAAUGCUAAGGAUCCUUGAACAAGUUGCAACUAUGAUUGAGCAGAUGCAUAUCCUACUUGAUCUAAUAACAGCAUCUAAUUUUUUUCCCCUGCAUCUUCACUACUUGCAACAUGUGUCCAUCCACUAUAGUAUCAUUCAUUCAAUAUUGAUGUGUACACUAGCUUGUAACUACUUCCUACUAUAAUGAAAUUUUGUCAGAGCACCA